GACGAACGCUGGCGGCGUGCUUAACACAUGCAAGUCGAGCGGUAAGGCCCUUUCGGGGGUACGACGAGCGGCGAACGGGUGAGUAACACGUGGGUGACCUGCCCUCCAGCUCUGGGAGUAAGCCUGGGAAACCGGGUCUAAUACUGGAUAUGACUCCAUGACGCAUGUUGUGGGGUGGAAAGCCUUGUGCGGCUGAGGAUGGGCCCGCGGCCUAUCAGCUUGUUGGUGGGGUGAGGCCUACCAAGGCGACGACGGGUAGCCGGCCUGAGAGGGCGACCGGCCACACUGGGACUGAGACACGGCCCAGACUCCUACGGGAGGCAGCAGUGGGGAAUCUUGCGCAAUGGGCGAAAGCCUGACGCAGCGACGCCGCGUGAGGGA
rnacentral:rRNA from 1 species